UUUUUUCCUGUUUUGAAUAUUUAGUUUCUUAGCAAUGGGAAUGCAAAACUAUUGUGAUAUUGCUCGUUUACAGAUUUUUUGCAGUGAUUGAUUUGUUUGUUUCCUGAGAAAGCAUGAGAUUUGAAUCGGUUUUAUUGAUUAGCUUACUGUUUUGAAUGAUUUAAAAAGUGAUUUUAGAUUUGUUUGAAAAUGAUUAUAGUUUUGCUGCUGGAAAUUGAAGUCGUGUUCUUUUCUGUAAUUUUGAUGUUUAGUGUACGCUGAAUGUCGAUUUUAUUUCUGUUUUUUUGUCUUGUUAGAAGAGCUCUGUCGAACUAAUAUGACGUCAUUAGGGGUUUGCAGCUCAUUUGAAACUGAAAACAGGAUUGUUUUUGUUCUGUUUCUAUAUAUCUGCCAUGACUUGAAUUGGUUAUCUAUCGUAUAUGAGGAACUUUUUUAGGAGUUUAUCUCCUCGGCGAAAUUUUUGGCUUUAAGAUAAUAGAAUUGACUCUCCAAGCUGUCUUCUUGUAGCUCUAUUGCAUUUUGGUUGUCUUGGGUCAUUACCAACACAGUUUCUCAUGUUUUGCUUGCGUGGUUCCUGAAAGGAAAUGAUGAUCAGCAUUACAGUUUCAGUUAAAAUGAUGAUCAGCAUUACAGUUUCAGUUAAUCUUACGUUUUCUUUGCAGCAGCAGCAGAAGCUUAUCUGUGAAGAUGGGUCGUGUUCGUACUAAGACAGUGAAGAAGUCCUC
rnacentral:lncRNA from 1 species